rnacentral:lncRNA from 1 species
AAUUAUUUAACAUUAUAAACUUCUUGUGCGCUUCUUUAUAAAGAAAAUUAUUAUAUUUAUUGGCUCACUUUUGAGGUAAAAAAGAAAAAUAUAAUUUCUUGAAAUAAUAGUUAUAUAGAAAGAAAAAGAUAUCUUAUUGACUGCUCUUCUUUUUUAAAUUUUUUUUACUAUCUUGUUGGUUGAUGACAUUCAAAAUAUAGUUAAAAUUGAUAGAAUUUUCAAUUAUUUCUUAUUUUCUUGAGUGUUAAAGAUAUUCAAUGUAAGAAGGUCUCAUAAAUAAAUUUUGCCUAAGGCUCCUGUAUUCUAGAGCCGGCCUAGUUACCAUUCAUGUUUUAAUUGUUAUUACUCUAAAAUACGACACAAACUGGAAAUUGAUCAAAAUUACAAAUUACCAUAUUAUUGAAACUUUACUACAAAAGCUGUGCCAGCCUGCCUGACGAUACGAACAAUAUAAAUCGAGUAAGAUGCUGCAAUAUUUUAUGGAAACGUUGAGAUCUGAACUGGAGAAAACGAAAAAAAAAUCAACAUAUUUUAGAGGGUUUUAUUUAUUUAUGUUUACAACAAACUGUACCAUGAAAAAGGGAACAUACGCCCCAAUCCCUAAAGACAGUAAGCUCCGACUUUCAAGAAAAUAAAGCCAGCAAUUAUCUGUUUGUAUACAUACCAUCAACAAACGGCUGCUUUGGCAGCCUUAAUGAAGCCAUUUUCAUUUACAGAAUAAAAGAAAAAGUUAAAGAAAGAAAGAAAAGGUUUUGAUCACUGAAUACAGGUUGUUUGUGAAAAAGAAACUCAAAGAUCAUAAAUCUCAAAAAAAAAAAAAAAAUCACUUUUUUUAUUUUAAAAAAGAACAUCACUUAAUUGCUCUCUAUUUGCACUUUCAAUGUAGAGUUUUCCAAGUUUCUCAAUUGUGCUUUUCAUGAAUAUUAAGAGAAAACUCAAUCUGAUUACGGUAAUAACAUGCCCUUACGGUAUUAUUAAUUAACUUCUUCAGCUGACAAACAAACUUGUUCGAUGGCUUGAUUUCAACAAACUAUGUGAUCGAGGAGGACUUAAGUGAUGCAUUUAUGAAACCUUGGAUCCCUUAAUUUCUUUCUACAAAGAACAAGGACUUGAGUGAUAAGAACACUUUUAAAAUUAAUUGAAUUAAAAAAAUAAAAAAAAGUAAAGAUCAUUACAGGUAAUAAAGUUAUGCUCCCUGUUGGCGUAUGACAUGAAACGUAAAGUGAUAGCAUUUUUACUUUGAUUAAUUAAUUAUGAUUUUUUUUUUUUUUUUAAAAAAGGCAGCUUAUUACCUAUGAGUUGUGAGUUGUGACCAAGGACAAGGUGGGAAAUAUUCCUUUGCGUGUUUGCAUAAUAUUAUCCGCCGUUGGUUGCUUUCUAAAAGCAUUUUGUAAUCUGCAAAUAAAUAAAAUGCGGCUGUUGUUGCGAGCUGCUUUUUACGUCAUUUCAUUAAAUAUUUAGGGAUUGAGCAUUUGAGCUGGGUCAGUUCGACUGUUGCUUUCCUUCUAAAUAAUCUUUUCGGUCACUUGAUGAUCGUGAUUUCUGUUGCAUAUGUCAAGCUUUUGAGAUUUUAGAUGCCUUUUACAUUAUGCAGAAUCAUAUUCUUCCGCAUUGUUUUAUUAAAAUUCCAUAUGCUAUAAAAGAAUUUUUUUUUCCCUAAAACCCUAUAUAACUUAGAAUAAUUAUUCUUUUUUCACUUGGUAGAUACAUGGAUUUUUUUUUUUUUUGGUCUGAAACACGAGGUGGUCCUAAGUGAGUCUCAAUUGUGGGAGGCAUCUUUAAGUUCGUACUAUAACUCAGACUAAUCCCCGCUCGCACCGAGUCGGCCCAUAAGAGGUAAAGUGCUGGUAAAAGUGGUGACUUCAUAACCACAACUCAGACUAAUCCCUGCUCGCACUAGGUCAGCUCAUAAGGAGUAAAGUGCUGGCCAAAGUGGUGACUUCAUACGAGAGCGGGGCUUGAACCCUUAACCUCUCUUGAAAAGUGAGAGUGUCGAACCAUUCACACCAACAAACUUUGGUUAGUAGAUACAUGGAUUUAAUUGGUAGCUAACAAAGAAAAAUAAUAAAUCUUGAACCCGAAUACCUAAUGUUUAGAUGUGUCAAUAGAUCCUUUACUUUAUUUUUAUAUAAAAAUAUUACAAUGUAAUUCUACAAUUAAAAACUUAUAUGAGAGACUUGUCUCUUGGAUUGUGUUGUUUCAGAUAUCUAAUCAUCGUUGGCGGAAUAUAUGUGCAGGCAUGGGACUAGGGCCCUGUGCUAAAAAAAUUUCAAGAACAACAAGAGAUUAAAUUGAAAUAUUCCCAACUUUAUCAGGCAUAUGUUUCGUGUGCCACCUUCGCUGCUAUAGAUUUUAUGUUAUGGCGUACCUAAUUUUCUAGUUUCCACGUUGUGGUACGUUUGGUUGGCCCUCUCAUUUUUACUAAUUCUAUGUUAUAAUCUAUUUAGAUGCAUGAUUUUUUUAUUAUGGACCCGGACCCGUUGAAUAAAAAUCCUAGACCCUUGAUACUUCAAAUGAUAAGUCAGCUUAGUGUUGCGGACCGCCCAAUUCGCUAGCCCAAUUGCCCCAAUUUCGGGCUAGAGAGCCAACACAAGGCCAAGAGUGCUAACUUGGCCCAAUUCCGGAAGGUUCUAGGCAACUCUCGCACAUGUGAACAUGUAAAUAUUCUAGAAUACUUUAUACAAUUCCAGCACAUGCAAAUAGUUAGGAAAUUGUAAAAUACUCUAGAGUUUGACAAAGUUUGGCAAAGUUAGGUAAAGUUAGGCAAAGCCUCUCCUAUAAAUAUGGGAUGGCAUUAAACAUUUGUAUCCAACAAGCAUUGUAAUCUCUCUUUGUGCAAUACAAGUUUCUUUGGCUCAAUUGCUCUCUUCUCUUGUUCGAGAAUCUCUAGGCUUACUUAGCAACAUUCGGCAAAGUUGUUUAAGUGCCGCACGGGUUAGCUGCGCAAAACACUCAUCCCGUGACAUUAGACACAAAAAGUAUCCUAAUUUCCCUCGCUAGCUACAAAUAUUAUUAAUUAUUAAUCAUUACUAUUAUUAUUGCCAUAAUGUAAUAGCACUAUGUGAAGGGGAAACCCUGAGUUUUUAUUAUCAUAAGCCUUGGGCUUAUUGGGCAUCUAAUUCAAAAGUUCACGUCAAAUAAAUAAAAUUUUAGAACAUCAUAAAAACUCAUCUAAUUUUCUUAUUUAAAUACUUAUUACUGAUCUAU